GGGAUCUGGAGCAGGUUUUCAUCAAGGAUCUCUCUGUACUUUGCUCCGUUCAUCUUUGCCUCGGUCCUGACUAGUCUCCCAGUCCCUACUGCUGAAAAACAUUUCCACAGCGUAAUGCUGCCACCACCAUGCUUCACCAUAGGGAUGGUGCCAGGUUUCCUACAUACGCUUGGCAUUCAGGCCAAAGAGUUCAAUCUUGGUUUCAUCAGACAAGAGAAUGUUGUUUCUCGUGGUCUGAGAGUUCUGUGUAGAACUCUGGGGCUCUCCACAGAUUAACUCUGGAGCUCUGUCAGAGUGACCAUCGGCUUCUUGGUCACCACCCUGACCAAGGCCCUUCUCCACCGAUUGCUCAGUUUGGCCGGGCGGUCCAGCUCUAGGAAGAGUCUUGGUGGUUCAAAACUGUGUUCUUGGCGUCCUUCAAUGUGUUGGUACUCUUCCCCAGAUCUGUGCCUCGACACAAACCUGUCUCGGAGCUCUACCGACAAUUCCUUCGACCUCAUGGCUUGCUUUUUGCUCUGACAUGCAUGCACUGUCAACUGUGGGACCUUUUUAUAGACAGGUGUGUGCCUUUUUCCAAAUCAUGUCCAAUCUAAUGAAUUUACCACAGGUGGACUCCAAGUUGUAGAAACAUCUCAAGGAUGAUCAAUGGAAACAGGAUGCACCUGAGCUCAAUAUCAAGUCUCAUAGGAAAGGGUCUGAAUUCUUAUGUAAAUAAGGUCUUUCAGAGAUAUAGAUAGAUAGAUAGAUGCAAAAAAUAAUCCACUUGUUUUCACUUUGUCAUUAUGGGGUAUUUGUGUGUAGAUUGCUGAGGAUAUAUAUAUAUUUUAGAAUAAGGCUGUAACGUAAGAAAAUGUGGAAAAAGCCAAGGGGUCUGAAUACUUCCCGAACGGGUGGUGUGUGUGAUUACGUUAAGACUCUGGCUUGGUGGGUGGAAGGAAGGAAGAUCACGAUCUGUUUGUUUUUUUGAGGAGGAGGAGGAGGAUGGGUGAUGUAGAAACUCCCCACAUUUCAAACCAGGGAACGGGUCUGUCAUCUGGAUGCGUAAGGACCGGGUUUGAACUUUUUUCAUUUGAAACACAAAAAUGUUGUACUAUUGUUUAUUUUAUUUUUAUUAUUAUUUUUUAUGUCAGGAAAUGUUUGGUUUUUGUUCAAAAUGUCAUGAAAUCAACCCUAGGUCCAUUGGCAUUUCUUAUUUUGCGACACUUGUGUGUGGAUUGUUUGUAUGUGUAGCUAGUAUGUGUAACACUUACACAAUAUAUUGCUUGCUGCAUCUCACUAUUGUGAGAGAAGGACUACACUCCUGCCCAUGCUUUAAAUUUCAAAAGGACCUUAAAAAUAGUGUGGUUUUGUAUUGUUGGAGACAGGAAUCUGAUCACUAACCCCUCUACAUGAUGAAGGGGGUUGGAUGAAGUUGCCUCCAGACCAGAGUUGAGGUCAAUUCGAAUUGAAGGCAGUCAUUUCAGGAAGUUAUUUGAAUAUAAAAAUAUACAUAUAUAUAUAUAAGUUAUUAGCUUCUACUUUUCAGUUUAUUGAGAAGUCAUUAAAAAAUGUGCACCUUUUUUUUUUAUUUCAAUGAUUUUUAAAUUGGAAUUUCAGUUUUCUUCCUGACUUGACGUCCAUCCAAUGGAAUUGAGCUCAGCCCUGCUCUAUAUACUGUUCUAAGAUCAGUUGUGUAUUUCUGCCAUCCAUGGUUAAGGCCAAGCUUUGCAGAGAAUAAGCUGAUCCUAGCUCUGGGAAACAUGGAAACUAGUUUCACUUGGAGCUUCUAGAGGUCACUCAGGACAAGGUCAGGGCUCAAAGGUCAGACGGGCCCUGGUUGCAUGUGCACAGCCCAGCGACCUCUCACCUCUCCUCCAGAGACUAAGUGUGCUUCCCAAAUGGCACCAUAUUCCCUAUAUAGUGCACUACACCAUAUAGGGCUCUGGUCAAAAGUAGUGCACUAUAAAGGGAAAGGGGUGCCAUUGGGGACGCAGGACAGAACAAUGAGAGAACAAUAAUGGAUGGUGAUCGUCCUUAGACACUAAGGUGACUGUCACUGAGAGCAGUUAACCCGCGUGUCUGUGUGUGAGAGAAGCUUAACAACAAAUGAUUCAGUCUCACUUCAGAGGAGACCACUGAGGAGGUGACCUCGUCCCCAGCCUCUUAAUGCCAUCAGUAGCCAGAUGCCAUUCAGAGAGGAGGAGCUCAGGAGAAUGGAAGGUAGAUGGUGGUACUGUAGUCAGAGGAGGAGAAUGGAAGGUAGAUGAUGGUACUGUAGUCAGAGGAGAAUGGAAGGUAGAUGAUGGUACUGUAGUCAGAGGGAGGAGCUCAGGAGAAUGGAAGGUAGAUGAUGGUACUGUAGUCAGAGGAGGAGAAUGGAAGGUAGAUGAUGGUACUGUAGUCAGAGGAGAAUGGAAGGUAGAUGAUGGUACUGUAGUCAGAGGAGGAGAAUGGAAGGUAGAUGAUGGUACUGUAGUCAGAGGAGGAGAAUGGAAGGUAGAUGAUGGUACUGUAGUCAGAGGAGGAGAAUGGAAGGUAGAUGAUGGUACUGUAGUCAGAGGAGAAUGGAAGGUAGAUGAUGGUACUGUAGUCAGAGGGAGGAGCUCAGGAGAAUGGAAGGUAGUGGUAGAUGGUCAGUUUCAUGUAUACUUGUCUAGGACACUGACUGGAUCCACUCCCUGGUUGUUUCUCCUUGGUUGUGAUCCAGGGCCGUCACUUUCUUUCUUUUUCUGAGCGAACUCCUUGACUUUACAAAAGACUGACAUACACAGAGAGUCUCUCACUGUCUUUCUUUUGAAAAAGGACACCUUUUCAUUUUGAUGAUGAAAGAGCUGUUUUUGUUGAGUGAAUAUUCUUUUGUAUAUUGUAUGGUAAGCCAUUUGGUCUUCUUAGUUAAACAAUCAACGUCCUGAAAUCAUUUGAUUUGACAUGUAGCAUUUCAAUGAGGACUUCAGUAAAAAAAAAUUGAUACCAAAUAUAUGUCUGAUUGACAACUUUUCAGAGAUGUACCACCUAAUGUCAAUAAUUCUAAUACGUUUCCAUAGUAAUGGAUUUUAUUACUUCACAUUAAUGGUGAUUUAAAUGAUUACUAAUUAUUGAUUAUUAUUUUAACUGAACUACUGGUAAAACAUCUGUCACUGAUGUAGCUACAUGACAAUGUCAACAUUUUAUUUUGUUAGUCGCUAUGGCCAAUGACAAUGCGGAGAAAUUAAAUGAAUAACAACAUUGCGUGUUACAAUGAGAUGAUGUAAUGUAUAUUUCCUGAUUCGGGUAAAAAAAAAAAAAAAAAUCAUUCUGAUAGGUU